rnacentral:rRNA from 1 species
GAGUUUGAUCCUGGCUCAGGACGAACGCUGGCGGCAGGCCUAACACAUGCAAGUCGAACGGUAACAGGAAACAGCUUGCUGUUUCGCUGACGAGUGGCGGACGGGUGAGUAAUGUCUGGGAAACUGCCUGAUGGAGGGGGAUAACUACUGGAAACGGUAGCUAAUACCGCAUAACGUCGCAAGACCAAAGAGGGGGACCUUCGGGCCUCUUGCCAUCGGAUGUGCCCAGAUGGGAUUAGCUAGUAGGUGGGGUAACGGCUCACCUAGGCGACGAUCCCUAGCUGGUCUGAGAGGAUGACCAGCCACACUGGAACUGAGACACGGUCCAGACUCCUACGGGAGGCAGCAGUGGGGAAUAUUGCACAAUGGGCGCAAGCCUGAUGCAGCCAUGCCGCGUGUAUGAAGAAGGCCUUCGGGUUGUAAAGUACUUUCAGCGGGGAGGAAGGGAGUAAAGUUAAUACCUUUGCUCAUUGACGUUACCCGCAGAAGAAGCACCGGCUAACUCCGUGCCAGCAGCCGCGGUAAUACGGAGGGUGCAAGCGUUAAUCGGAAUUACUGGGCGUAAAGCGCACGCAGGCGGUUUGUUAAGUCAGAUGUGAAAUCCCCGGGCUCAACCUGGGAACUGCAUCUGAUACUGGCAAGCUUGAGUCUCGUAGAGGGGGGUAGAAUUCCAGGUGUAGCGGUGAAAUGCGAAGA